GGAUGUAAGGGCGAUCUGGCUGCGACAUCUGUCACCCCAUUGGUCGCCAGGGUUGAUUCGGCUGAUCUGGCUUUCUAGGCAGGUGUUCCCUUCCUCUUUCACCGCUUCACGUGCGCCCCUUCUGAAACUGCAUGCUCGCUUGGUCGAAGAGGAAGGACCACUUUCCCCAAAUUUUCCCCAAAUAGAGGAGGACCGGUCCUUGGUCAAGGGUAUACAAGUAGCUGCGCUCCCCUGCUGGAACUGCCAAACAAACUCUCAAGGUCCAAUUUACAGACCAUCUCAGAGAGGUAAAGGGACUUGCCCAAAGGCACACAGAAAGCCAAAUAGUCAAAGUUCAAACUUGCUCU
rnacentral:snRNA from 1 species